GAUCUUUCAUGUUUUCUCUUGCUCUGUCCGAUACAAACUCAGAAAAGGUCUCCCUUCGUCGCCCCGCCAUUCUCAUGCAAAUCGCUGUCUUGCCAAUCGGAAAGUUCAUGGCCAAAACUCUGCCAAACAAGGACUUCAAUUUGUUGGGCUUUAAGUUCAACUUGAACCCCGGUCCCUUCAACAUGAAGGAGCAUGUCGUCAUCACCAUCUUCGCCAAUUGUGGGGUCUCCUCUGGCGGAGGACUCUUCUGGCUCUUCAUCUGAGAGAGAAAAAGAGAGCACAGGAAGUGAAGGUUAUCAUCUAGCUGUGCUCUUCUACUUCUACGCUACCGUAACUGUUUGACGAAGUCAGUACAACUCUUCCUUUCCGCUCCUCACAUCUCUUGAUCUGAAUUGGUUUACCUCGGUCUCAGACUGAUUGGGUCUUUUGUAGACACUGGAUUGUGGGAUCUUGAAGUGAUUCAAGUUGGUUGCAGUAUCUAUUUGUGCCUGCAAAUUGCUAGGGGUUUUGGAUUCGAUUUUCUUCGCUUGCAGUUGAGGUUUGAAGAUUUGGGUCUCUAGAUGAUACGUCAUAAGACAGGUAAAGGAAGUAAAAGUAAGCUGAAGUCAAAGCAGGAGUAAAUGGUA